GACUACACGGGUAUCUAAGCCCGUUUGCUCCCCUGGCUUUCGCGCCUCAGCGUCAGAAAAGGACCAGCAAUUCGCUUUCGCCACAGGCGUUCCUGUCGAUAUCAACGCAUUUCACCGCUCCACCGACAGUUCCAAUUGCCCCUUCCUUCCUCGAGCCGCAGUGGUAUCGUAAGCAGUUCCCCAGUUAAGCUGGGGGAUUUCACCCACGACCCGCUCGGCCGCCUACGCGCCCUUUAAGCCCAGUGAUUCCGAAUAACGUUUGGACGGUUCGUCUUACCGCGGCUGCUGGCACGAACUUAGCCCGUCCUUGUUUCUCCGAUCGAUCAAGUUUUACCCUUUCUUUCGGACCAAAGCGGUUUACAACCCGAAGGCCUUCAUCCCGCACGCGGCGUCGCUCGGUCAAGCUUGCGCCCAUUGCCGAAGAUUCUCGACUGCAGCCCCCCGUAGG
rnacentral:rRNA from 1 species